UCUAGGCCUCGGUCACCGCAGGCAGCGUCAGGAAGGUGUCCUCGAAGCUGCCCCCACAACGCUGCCAGGCUCUGUGCGGCCCUGCAGGACUCGGAGCGAGCACACACUCCACCUAAGACAAACUCACCCAAGAGUCAAAUGUAGGUGUUCAUGGAGGCAACAAAAUAUACACACUGAAAACCACUUCCCUGUCCAUCAUGAAUGAAAACUGGGCCGAAACCGGUUUGGCUCGGUGGAUAGAGCGUCGGUCUGCGGACUGAAAGGUCCCAGGUUCGAUUCCGGUCAGGGGCAUGUACAUUGGUUGCGGGCACAUCCCCAGUAGGGGGUGUGCAGGAGGCAGCUGGUCGAUGUUUCUCUCUCAUCGAUGUUUCUAGCUCUCUAUCCCUCUCCUUUCCUCUCUGUAAAAAAUCAAUAAAAUAUAUU